rnacentral:rRNA from 1 species
GACGAACGCUGGCGGCGCGCCUCAUACAUGCAAGUCGAACGUGAAGCCCGGAGCUUGCUCCGGGUGGAGAGUGGCGAACGGGUGAGUAACACGUGAGGAACCUGCCCCGAAGACCGGGAUAACACCGGGAAACCGGUGCUAAUACCGGAUGCCCUCACCGGACCGCAUGAUCCGGUGAGGAAAUGGAUUCCGCUUCGGGAUGGCCUCGCGGCCUAUCAGCUUGUUGGUGGGGUAACGGCCUACCAAGGCUUCGACGGGUAGCUGGUCUGAGAGGAUGUCCAGCCACACUGGGACUGAGACACGGCCCAGACUCCUACGGGAGGCAGCAGUAGGGAAUCUUGCGCAAUGGGCGAAAGCCUGACGCAGCGACGCCGCGUGCGGGAUGAAGGCCCUCGGGUUGUAAACCGCUUUCAGCAGGGACGAAAUUGACGGUACCUGCAGAAGAAGCCCCGGCCAACUACGUGCCAGCAGCCGCGGUAAUACGUAGGGGGCAAGCGUUGUCCGGAUUUAUUGGGUACG